UAACACUUUCUUUCGGUCAACCAGGUUAUCUAAACUCUCUUCAUUUCCUUAGUCUCCAUAGAGGCAUAGAGUGGGACUAUUGAUUCUUUAUCAUCUUUGUUUUAAUGCCCCAAUUCGUACGCUUUUCUAUAUGCUUACACUAAAAAUGAAUCAAAAAUCAGCAAAUGCUUUCACAUAUCUUGUUUCAGUAAAAUACUAACUACAUUUACAUACAAUUGACAUAUUCUAUUUAAACUAUUGCAGGAAGUUCCUGCUGACAAGGACAAAGAGAUCGAACCUAAUCUUCGGUCUCCUCCAAAAAGGCACAAACAAGAACCACUAACAAUCAAGGAUUCCACGGAACCAGAGCACCGCCAAGAAUGAUAUGUGCAAGCGUAUAGAAUUAGUUCAAAGAAUAGCUAAUGUCUACAUUCUGUGCAACCUCUUUUAUAACCCUGAAAUUGUAGUACUAACAACAAUACAAUCAGUUCGUAUGGCCUGGCUCGUUUCUCUGUAGGGUAGAUUGUCUUUCUAAAGGAGCCAUUAAGACUAAAUAUUAUUAGCUUGUAUAAUUAAUACUCAGAACCUAAUGACUGCUUAGUGCUCUAAUUAUUGUAUAUAUUUUAUUAAA